GACCUCCUGACUCCUGGGAUCAGUCGAUGGGCUGAGCCUCUCUUCCCCCCCCCCAUUGGGACGCCUUUGGGAGAGACAAAUCUGUUCAUUGAUUAUUUCAGAAGUAACUGUCCUAUUCACCAACUUCAAGAACCCUUUACUGGUAAUGCAUUCAGCUUUCCAGAACAAACUGCUUCACAUUCUUUAGCAAGAUAUGGUUCCAUGUUGGAAGAAAGUUUUUCAACAGAUUGUCAAGAUUACAGUUCUGGGAAAGAGGAGAAGCACAGAUUCUGCACUACUUCUCUCAGUGUACGACUACACUUAGAGCAUAUUGAAAACCAACACCAAGCCACAAGAAGCCAGAAAAUUUUCCUACAGUGUUAAUUUCUGGUGUCAAUGUAAGUAUGCAUAUGUUCAUGCAUUAUUUUCAUGAGGCAGUAUAUAUGACAGCAUACCAAAGAAGUUACUUAAGCCCAGAUCCU
rnacentral:lncRNA from 1 species